AUGUCUUGGCCACCAGAGCUUCCCUCUUUGGGCCCCUCCUCCCCUUCCUCGCUGCCAGCCUUUUCCCUAGAGUCACUAACCCUCUGUAGUGGCCCUGACCUCAUCGGUUUGCAGAAUCUAUCACCUCCAGUGCUCAGCAUCUACGUUAAAGAACUGUCUUUCUGCACGGCAUGUCCCCAGCCCAACCCCAAAUGCACCCCCAAUAUAGUCCUUGCCCCCAAACACAAUCCUGUCAUCAGCCCAGCCCACUGCAAGCUCAUCCACAUCUCCAAUUCCAACCUGGUUUCUCCUGCUCCAUCUCAGUCCCCACCUGGUUCCCAUCUCCCAUCUCCAGGCCCCCAUCUUUUGGGAUGGAGCAAACACUUGAUCCUUCCUGGCCUCAGUCUUCCUGCCCGGAAUUGCAGGACAUUCGACCCAAUGCCAUCACCUCUCUUCUCCCUUGGUGGCACCAAGGUCUCCAAUGCUCCCUUGCACCCUGUCUGGGCCUGUGAGUCCCCAAAUUCUCCCCUGCACCUUCCUCCCGUUCUCAUUGCCUUUCUGCCUUCUCGCCGGCACUCCCCGGGGAUCGGGCCCCAGAUUCUCUCUCUGCCCCCAGCCUCUGCUGUGUUCAAGGCACAGGUUCUCAUCAGCUCUGGUCCAGUGCAGCUCAGGGCACCUGUUUUCCCAGAGGGGCUCCGGGUGGGAGGGGGACCCCUGCCCCCUGUCCCCAGCACACUCACCUCUGUCCUCAUGCCCGUCCUUCUCUUCCUGCUGCUGUCCUGUCCCCAGGCUACUUCAGCCAGGACUGCUGAGAGCUUGGAUCUGAGGAGGGGGGGCUCGGAGGAGGACAAUUUCCUGUCAGGAAACCCCUCCCUCCCUGGGGCCAGGGGUGGGAAGGACUCAUUAUCUGUCUGCCCUUUUAGGCCAGGCUGCGGUUGGACUGGGAAGGCCGAGGCCCACAGCCAGGCCCCCACCCUCACUCCCGCUCCAGGCCAGAAUCCGCCACCUGCCUGCUCUUCACGCCUCCCAAGGUGA
rnacentral:lncRNA from 1 species